AACAGUACGUGAAACCGCAUGCAGGUAAACGGGUGGCGUCAAGCUGCACACCUGGAGAAUUCAGUCGGCUAGGAUGUUGUGUAUGCGCCUGUGCAUCUAUCAGUCGGUGUAAGAUUGGACGGUCUACUGGAAGACAGUGGGCCCUGCCGCAAGGUGGGGAUGUGUGUACCGGGCGGAAGCCGGAGCAUGCCGUUCGUCUGUUGGACUGCCUAGCCGGUGCACUUUCUCUGUGGUGGACACCACGACCGGUGGAACUGCCAGUCUGCUAUGGUCAAGUCGUGCUCGGUGCGUCCUUGUGGCAAACUGGGUGCGAUCACGGGCAAAUUCGGUGUACGGCGUGGAUGCGUCUUUCGAGGCGUGUUCACGUGCUAUCGGCCACUGGUUGUCUUAACGGGCCUGCCUAGCGGUUGUUGUAGCCGUCGUUGGGUGGUCUGGUGGACUAUAGCGGUAAGAAUAACUGUGCAGGGCACCGGGUUCAUCGGCCUCAAAUGCAGUCCGCAUGCGUGCUAUAAGUGUGUCAAUGUGGGUGUCGUGUCAGCCUGCCUGUUGCCGAGUCUGACGGUCGUGUUGCCUGCGAAAAGUGGGUCCGGCUGUGGCUUGGUGCAGGUUGGAGUUGCGCGCGGCGCCUACUGUGUGGACUGUGGUGGGCCAGAUAGUCAGUGGUGUAGUGGUAGACGAGCUACCCGACCCGUCUUGAAACACGGA
rnacentral:rRNA from 1 species